rnacentral:rRNA from 1 species
GGCUCCUUGUGAUAAAUAAAUAAGGAGUCGGACCUGCCCAGUGAAAGUUUUUAACGGCCGCGGUACUCUGACCGUGCAAAGGUAGCAUAAUCAUUUGCCUUAUAAUUGAAGGCUGGUAUGAAUGGUUUGACAAGAAUAUAGCUGUCUCUUUAUAAUUUAAUAGAAUUUUAUUUUGAGGUGAAGAAGCCUCAAUUAGAUUAAAAGACAAGAAGACCCUAUCGAGCUUGAAAAAAAUUUAAUAGAAUGUAAUAUUAAUAUAUAAAUUAAAAAAUCAUCUGUUAAAAAUUUUGGUUGGGGCGACUGAGGAACAAAAACAGCUUCCUUUAAAACAAUAAUAACAUACAGGUGCUGAUCCAAAAUUUUUGAUUAAAGAAAUUAGUUACCGUAGGGAUAACAGCAUUAUCCUCUUUGAGAGUUCUUAUCGAAAGGGGGGUUUGUGACCUCGAUGUUGGACCAGAAUAUCCUAAAGAUGUAGAAGUCUUUAAGGGUUGGUCUGUUCGACCAUUAAAAUUCU